GACGAACGCUGGCGGCGUGCUUAACACAUGCAAGUCGAACGCUGAAGACCUGGCUUUUGUUGGGUUGGAUGAGUGGCGAACGGGUGAGUAACACGUGAGUAACCUGCCCUCUUCUUUGGGAUAACGCCCGGAAACGGGUGCUAAUACUGGAUAUUCACUGAUCUUCGCAUGGGGGUUGGUGGAAAGGUUUGUUCUGGUGGGGGAUGGGCUCGCGGCCUAUCAGCUUGUUGGUGGGGUGAUGGCCUACCGAGGCUUUGACGGGUAGCCGGCCUGAGAGGGUGACCGGUCACAUUGGGACUGAGAUACGGCCCAGACUCCUACGGGAGGCAGCAGUGGGGAAUAUUGCACAAUGGGCGAAAGCCUGAUGCAGCGACGCCGCGUGAGGGAUGGAGGCCUUCGGGUUGUAAACCUCUUUCGCUCAUGGUCAAGCCGCAACUGUGGGUUGUGGUGAGGGUAGUGGGUAAAGAAGCGCCGGCUAACUACGUG
rnacentral:rRNA from 1 species